rnacentral:ncRNA from 1 species
UGUGGCCCGUGAGGAGCGGGCUGAACAAGGGAAGCCGGUGAGAAUCCGGCGCAGACGCGCUACUGUGAAAGUUGAUAUAGGCUUUGCAUUCAUGCCAUUGCGAAAGCGAGAAGGCGCAAAGCUGACGAAGCCAGGAGACCUACA